UACGUAGGGUGCAAGCGUUGUCCGGAAUUAUUGGGCGUAAAGAGCUCGUAGGCGGUUUGUCGCGUCUGCUGUGAAAACUCGGGGCUUAACCCCGGGCCUGCAGUGGGUACGGGCAGACUAGAGUGCGGUAGGGGAGACUGGAAUUCCUGGUGUAGCGGUGAAAUGCGCAGAUAUCAGGAGGAACACCGGUGGCGAAGGCGGGUCUCUGGGCCGUAACUGACGCUGAGGAGCGAAAGCUAGGGGAGCAGACAGG
rnacentral:rRNA from 1 species